AUCACUGGUGUUCGGGUUGUCAUGCCAAUGGCACUGCCCGGUAGCUAAAUGCGGAAGAGAUAAGUGCUGAAAGCAUCUAAGCACGAAACUUGCCCCGAGAUGAGUUCUCCCUGAGACUUAGAGUCUCCUGAAGGAACGUUGAAGACGACGACGUUGAUAGGCCGGGUGUGUAAGCGCAGCGAUGCGUUGAGCUAACCGGUACUAAUGAACCGUGAGGCUUAACCUUACAACGCCGAAGCUGUU
rnacentral:rRNA from 2 species